AAAGACUAAGAUAGCACCAAACCAAGUUUUUGUUCCCAAAGUAGCACUCAAGGCUCAAAGUCACAAAAAUAGGUUUCAUUAAAGAGGUAAAUAUACACUUAUACCCCUUGGGUUAAUUAAUCCAAACCUUAGGGUUUAGAGUUAAGGGGUGGGGUUUUGAAAUUAGGGUUUAAAAUUUUAUAAAAAAAUAAAUACUAAAAUAAAAAAUAAAAAUUUUAAAAACAGUUUCAAAAAGUAUUUUUAAAUUAUAAAAAGAAAAUUUGAAAAAAAUUUAAAAAAAAAUUCGAAAAAAAAUUUCAAAAAAAAAUUAUAAAAAUUUCGAAUCUUAAAACACAUAAUCUGAAACUAUAAAAAAAAAUUCUUUUUUUUUUAUUUUUUUAUUUUUAUUUUAUUUAUUUUAUUUAUUUUUGUUUGUUUAUUUAAUUUUAAACCAAGGGUAUUAUGGAUAUUUUACCCUUUAAUGAAUGUCAUUUUUGUGACUUUCUCCUUCUAAUGCUAUUUUUGAGACAUAAACUUCAAAAGGUGCUAUUAUUGACAAUUGCCCAAAUAAUAAAAACAAAAUUUUGAAAAAAACUACAUCUAUAUUGCACAUCUAUAUUUAGAUUUAAGCUUCCACGUAUUAUUUCUACAAAACACAAUAUUAUUUACAUGAAAAGUAUUACCUGGGAUUUUCUUUUAAUUUUUUGAUGCAACUCAAUUUUUUAUUAUCC
rnacentral:lncRNA from 1 species